AAUACGUUCCCGGGUCUUGUACACACCGCCCGUCACACCAUGGGAGCGGGUUUUACCAGAAGUAGGUAGCUUAACCGUAAGGGGGCGCUUACCACGGUAGGAUUCGUGACUGGGGUGAAGUCGUAAACAAGGUACC
rnacentral:rRNA from 1 species